AUGCAAGUCGAGGGGCAGCAUGGUCUUAGCUUGCUAAGACUGAUGGCGACCGGCGCACGGGUGAGUAACGCGUAUCCGACCUUCCCUUUGCUUGGGGAUAGCCCAGUGAAAACUGGAUUAAUACCCGAUGUAGUCCAGCUGGCGCAUGUUAUCUGGACUAAAGAUUUAUCGGCAGAGGAUGGGGAUGCGUCCGAUUAGCUUGACGGCGGGGUGACGGCCCACCGUGGCAACGAUCGGUAGGGGUUCUGAGAGGAAGGUCCCCCACACUGGAACUGAGACACGGUCCAGACUCCUACGGGAGGCAGCAGUGAGGAAUAUUGGUCAAUGGGCGGGAGCCUGAACCAGCCAAGUAGCGUGAAGGAUGACUGCCCUACGGGUUGUAAACUUCUUUUAUGGGGGAAUAGCCGCCGCUACGCGUAGCGGCCUGCAUGUACCCCAUGAAUAAGCAUCGGCUAAUUCCGUGCCAGCAGCCGCGGUAAUACGGAAGAUGCGAGCGUUAUCCGGAUUUAUUGGGUUUAAAGGGUGCGUAGGCGGGGAUGUA
rnacentral:rRNA from 1 species